AGUCGAACGGCAGCACGGGCUUCGGCCUGGUGGCGAGUGGCGAACGGGUGAGUAAUACAUCGGAACGUGCCCUGUAGUGGGGGAUAACUAGUCGAAAGAUUAGCUAAUACCGCAUACGACCUGAGGGUGAAAGCGGGGGACCGCAAGGCCUCGCGCUACAGGAGCGGCCGAUGUCUGAUUAGCUAGUUGGUGGGGUAAGAGCCUACCAAGGCGACGAUCAGUAGCUGGUCUGAGAGGACGAUCAGCCACACUGGGACUGAGACACGGCCCAGACUCCUACGGGAGGCAGCAGUGGGGAAUUUUGGACAAUGGGGGCAACCCUGAUCCAGCAAUGCCGCGUGUGUGAAGAAGGCCUUCGGGUUGUAAAGCACUUUUGUCCGGAAAGAAAUGGCCUGGGAUAAUACCCCGGGUCGAUGACGGUACCGGAAGAAUAAGCACCGGCUAACUACGUGCCAGCAGCCGCGGUAAUACGUAGGGUGCGAGCGUUAAUCGGAAUUACUGGGCGUAAAGCGUGCGCAGGCGGUUUUGUAAGACAGGCGUGAAAUCCCCGAGCUUAACUUGGGAAUGGCGCUUGUGACUGCAAGGCUAGAGUAUGUCAGAGGGGGGUAGAAUUCCACGUGUAGCAGUGAAAUGCGUAGAGAUGUGGAGGAAUACCGAUGGCGAAGGCAGCCCCCUGGGACGUCACUGACGCUCAUGCACGAAAGCGUGGGGAGCAAACAGGAUUAGAUACCCUGGUAGUCCACGCCCUAAACGAUGUCAACUAGUUGUUGGGGAUUCAUUUCUUCAGUAACGUAGCUAACGCGUGAAGUUGACCGCCUGGGGAGUACGGUCGCAAGAUUAAAACUCAAAGGAAUUGACGGGGACCCGCACAAGCGGUGGAUGAUGUGGAUUAAUUCGAUGCAACGCGAAAAACCUUACCUACCCUUGACAUGCCACU
rnacentral:rRNA from 1 species